rnacentral:rRNA from 1 species
UGGGGAAUUUUGGACAAUUGGGCGAAAGCCUGAUCCAGCAAUGCCGCGUGUGUGAAGAAGGCCUUCGGGUUGUAAAGCACUUUUGUCCGGAAAGAAAUCCUUGGCUCUAAUACAGUCGGGGGAUGACGGUACCGGAAGAAUAAGCACCGGCUAACUACGUGCCAGCAGCCGCGAUAAUACGUAGGGUGCAAGCGUUAAUCGGAAUUACUGGGCGUAAAGCGUGCGCAGGCGGUUUGCUAAGACCGAUGUGAAAUCCCCGGGCUCAACCUGGGAACUGCAUUGGUGACUGGCAGGCUAGAGUAUGGCAGAGGGGGGUAGAAUUCCACGUGUAGCAGUGAAAUGCGUAGAGAUGUGGAGGAAUACCGAUGGCGAAGGCAGCCCCCUGGGCAAUACUGACGCUCAUGCACGAAAGCGUGGGGAGCAAACAGGAUUAGAUACCCUGGUAGUCCACGCCCUAAACGAUGUCAACUAGUUGUUGGGGAUUCAUUUCCUUAGUAACGUAGCUAACGCGUGAAGUUGACCGCCUGGGGAGUACGGUCGCAAGAUUAAAACUCAAAUGAAUUGACGGGGUCAU